UGAUGGGCUGUGAGACUAAUUAAUGU
rnacentral:piRNA from 1 species